rnacentral:rRNA from 1 species
CAAUGUGAGUGGCGCAAGGGUGAGUAAUGCGAAGGUAACCAACCCUGAAGUUGGGCAUAGCCGCGGGAAACUGCGGGUAAUUCCCAGCGACGUUGCGAGAUGGCAUCAUUUUGCAACCAAAGGUGUGAUUCCGCUUUAGGACGGGCCUUCGUGGUAUUAGGUAGUUGGUGAGGUAACGGCUCACCAAGCCUACGAUGCCUACCGGGUGUGAGAGCAUGACCCGGCACACUGGAACUGAGACACUGUCCAGACACCUACGGGUGGCUGCAGUCAANAAUCUUCGGCAAUGGGCGAAAAGCCUGACCCGAGCGACGCCCCCUGGAGGGAAUUGAAGGCCUUUCGGGUUUGUAAACCCUCUUUUCGUAAAAGAAGGAAGGGGCUUGUGAAAAAACAGUCCUUGGCCCUANUUU